rnacentral:rRNA from 1 species
GCCAACCUUGAAAUACCACCCUUAUCAAUGUGUAUGUCUAACUGCGUUCCGUUAUCCGUAAUCGGGACAGUGUAUGGUGGGUAGUUUGACUGGGGCGGUCGCCUCCGAAAGAGUAACGGAGGCGCGCGAUGGUAGGCUCAGAGCGGUCGGAAAUCGCUUGUUGAGUGCAAUGGCAUAAGCCUGCCUGACUGCGAGACAGACAAGUCGAGCAGAGACGAAAGUCGGUCAUAGUGAUCCGGUGGUUCCGAGUGGAAGGGCCAUCGCUCAACGGAU